GUUGGCAAGGGAUGUGAUAGUGAAAUCUUAUCCUACACACUGAAUUGUUGUGUGGACUUAAACUCCGCUUGUUAUCUGAUGCCCCU